rnacentral:rRNA from 1 species
UACAGAGGGUGCGAGCGUUGUUCGGAAUUAUUGGGCGUAAAGGGCGCGUAGGCGGUGCGGUAAGUCACCUGUGAAAUCUCCUGGCUCAACUGGGAGCUUGCAGGCGAAACUGCCGUGCUGGAGUGUGGGAGAGGUGAGUGGAAUUUCAGGUGUAGCGGUGAAAUGCGUAGAUAUCUGAAGGAACAUCAGUGGCGAAAGCGACCUCCUGGACCAAUACUGACGCUCAGGUGCGAAAGCGUGGGGAGCAAACAGG